rnacentral:misc_RNA from 1 species
CCGAGUUUACAACUCCCAAACCCCUGUGAACAUACCUAUCGUUGCUUCGGCGGGAUCGCCCCGGCGCCCUCGGGCCCGGACCCAGGCGCCCGCCGGAGGACCCAAACUCUUGUUUUAUUUAAGUAUCUUCUGAGUAAACAAGCAAAUAAAUCA